CUGAAGACUUUACAGAAAUAAUGACAAAGUAGAUGUAGAAAAGAAACAAAAUAAACACAAAACAAAUAAAUACCGAAUAAGUUACACAUCUAGUUUUAUAAAUUCGUUUGAUUUGGUCGUUUCUUCAAUCCGUUAACUUUAACAAUCACGUGACUACCAACAGGAGGGACUUUGCGUCAGCCAUCGAACUGGAUGGUAAAAUAUCCUGCAAAAUCAUGGACCGACUUUUGACCGUCAUUGGACAACAACAUAUAGGUCUUACGGUGGGAUUGAGUUUGAUGAUCGUCGUUGUGGUUGUCGUCCUCGCGACGGUUGUUUACACUUCACCGGGCGCCACAACGCGCUGCUUGAGAAGAAACAGGAGUGAAGAACACCUCUCUCUGACUGCUAACACGAUUUCAUGACUGCUAACAGAAACAUAUUCACUUUAUGGAUCUCUUUGGAGAAUUGUUUCUGAAAAAUGACUUCCAAAACAAAUCACAGUUACCAUGGAAAUGUAAUAAAAUGUCAUUGACAUUUCUAAAGUGAGUGCCUCUGUUCCAGUGUUCUGCAUGAAGGCAUUUUGAUGGGCUUCAUUAAGUGGAAUUCUAAUCUAAGGACAUUUUUGUAUACUUUUUGUAUGUAUGAUGAUGUAGGGCAGGGGUCACCAAACUCAGUCCUGGAGGGCCAGUGUCCUGCAGAGUUUAUCAAACCCCUGAACCAGCUAAUCAGGGUCUUACUAGGUAUACUUGAAACUUCCAUGAAGGUGUGUUGAGGCAAGCUGGAGCUCAAUUCUGCAGGACUCUGGCCCUCCAGGACCCAGUUUUGAGACCAAUGAAGUAGGGCCUUCCUCUAAACUUGUGUACCUGUCAUGCAAAUGUAAAUCCUGCGCAACAGUCUCUGUAAAAUGAUCUUACAAAUACUUAAUAACUGGAAAAAUCAUUGAAAUUAGGUGAUGAGAAAAUUAUGGGAACUAUAAUUACUGGAAGCAAACAAAAACUCGAUAGAGAUGUUUUAUCAGCUGAACAACUGGUAGACAACAGUACAGUCCAUUGCACACAUUGUACUUCUAUCCAUCACAAACUCGCUUUCACUCCUGUCAAAAAUCUAAUAUGGUGCUACCCUGACUGGUCUAUCUCAGUAACUCUCUUUUAAUCACAGGAACUGCAAAGGCUGCAAUUCCAGUAGACAAGCACUAGAUGGACUAGUGCUCUGUGGAAAGGAUGACAGUCUGCAUAAAAUGUUUAUGUGCUACAGCAUAUUUUUAAUUUGAAGGCAGCUAUAAAUCCUGCUUUAACCUC